AGAGUUUGAUCCUGGCUCAGGAUGAACGCUGGCGGCGUGCUUAACACAUGCAAGUCGAACGAUGACUUUUGUGCUUGCACAAGAUGAUUAAUGGCGAACGGGUGAGUAACACGUGAGUAACCUGCCCCUGACUCUGGGAUAAGACCCGGGAAACUGGGUCUAAUACUGGAUAUGCACCGUAAGCCGCAUGGCUUUUGGUGGAAAGAUUUUUUGGUCAGGGAUGGACUCGCGGCCUAUCAGCUUGUUGGUGAGGUAAUGGCUCACCAAGGCGACGACGGGUAGCCGGCCUGAGAGGGUGACCGGCCACACUGGGACUGAGACACGGCCCAGACUCCUACGGGAGGCAGCAGUGGGGAAUAUUGCACAAUGGGCGAAAGCCUGAUGCAGCGACGCCGCGUGAGGGAUGACGGCCUUCGGGUUGUAAACCUCUUUCAGUCGG
rnacentral:rRNA from 1 species